GUCUCAUGGUGCUCUGUGUGUGCACAGGGAGAGACACCCAGAGACAAAGUCCAGCAAAGGCUUCCUCCAAGAGGCCAGUGGAUAAAGACAAGUCCUCACACCAACAUCUCCACACCCAGCACAGCCAGACCCAUGGACAGUCACGCUCCCACACGCCUCUCCAUGGCUCCAGGCUGCCCAGGAGAGGAGGCUGCAGAUGCUGCCCGGCCUCUAGAGCUCACCCCCAAGAGGGGAGGCAGGCACAGGUGGGAAAGCGACAUGGCAGCCCAUUCCAUCUCCACAGCCAACUGAGAAGCAGAAGCACCUGGCCCAUUUGCUGAGGAGACACCUGUCCAGGUGCGUCGACAUCUGAUCCUAAGAGCUGGGGUUAAGACAGGUUACUGUGUGAACUUAAACCAGUCACCUGCUUCCCUUGAGCUUAAUUACCCACCGCCUGCCGAGUGCACAGGUGGCGGCUGCAUGAAUUAAGCCCUGUACAACGCGCAGCACCCUGGGGCUGCCCGGGGAGAAAGGAGAUCCAAGACAUCCCACCCAUCACCUGAAAUAAAACCUCAUGUCGGGUCAGUGCGAAUCAUGACAAAUGCACACGUGCAAAAUUCCCUUCUGAGGUCAUGGGUGGGAGCAAC